GGCCAUGGCUCAACAGCAGAGCAUCUGUUUUGCAUGCAGAAGGUCUCUGGUUUGAUCCCUGACAUCUCCA